UACGUAGGCAGCAAGCGUUGUUCGGAAUUACUGGGCGUAAAGAGUGUGUAGGCGGUGUUCUAAGUUUGGUGUGAAAUCUCCCGGCUCAACUGGGAGGGUGCGCCGAAAACUGGAAUGCUAGAGUAUGGGAGAGGUAAGCGGAAUUCCUGGUGUAGCGGUGAAAUGCGUAGAUAUCUGGAGGAACACCGGUGGCGAAGGCGGCAUCCUGGACCGACACUGACGCUGAGGAGCGAAAGCCAGGGGAGCAAACGGG
rnacentral:rRNA from 1 species